CUACGGGACGCAGCAGUGGGGAAUAUUGCACAAUGGAGGAAACUCUGAUGCAGCAACGCCGCGUGGAGGAUGACACUUUUCGGAGCGUAAACUCCUUUUAUAUAGGAAGAAGAUGGCGGUACUAUAUGAAUAAGCGCCGGCUAACUCCGUGCCAGCAGCCGCGGUAAUACGGAGGGCGCAAGCGUUACUCGGAAUCACUGGGCGUAAAGAGCGUGUAGGCGGAUUAAAAAGUCAGAAGUGAAAUCCUAUAGCUUAACUAUAGAACUGCUUCUGAAACUCUUAAUCUAGAAUAUGGGAGAGGUAGAUGGAAUUUCUGGUGUAGGGGUAAAAUCCGUAGAGAUCAGAAGGAAUACCGAUUGCGAAGGCGAUCUACUAGAACAUUAUUGACGCUGAGACGCGAAAGCGUGGGGAGCAAACAGGAUUAGAUACCCGUGUAGUC
rnacentral:rRNA from 1 species